rnacentral:tRNA from 1 species
GGCCAUGUGGCUUAGUUGGUCAAAGUGCCUGUCUAGUAAACAGGAAUUCCUAGGUUCAAAUCCCAGCAGUGCCU